rnacentral:rRNA from 1 species
UACGGAGGAUGCGAGCGUUAUCCGGAUUUAUUGGGUUUAAAGGGUGCGUAGGCGGGAUGCCAAGUCAGCGGUAAAAAUGCGGUGCUCAACGCCGUCGAGCCGUUGAAACUGGCGUUCUUGAGUGGGCGAGAAGUAUGCGGAAUGCGUGGUGUGGCGGUGAAAUGCAUAGAUAUCACGCAGAACUCCGAUUGCGAAGGCAGCGUACCGGCGCCCUACUGACGCUGAGGCACGAAAGCGUGGGUAUCGAACAGG